AAGAAUCUUUUGGUGAGCCAUAUGUAGCUCUGCUGUAUUUGCUUUUGAGGUUUUCUGGAUGUAAUAAUAUGGGUAUUUUGGUUUCAGAAUGAGAGCAUUGAUGCACAAGAUGUUCUACAGACACUCGGUAAAGCUAACAUUUCCAGAACAAGUGGGACUUUUAUUGCAUACACAGACCAGCUAUGAAGCACUUGUUCAGGAAUCUCUGAGACUGCCGCCUGAUCUACCUCUGACUGCUGAUGGAUACAGCAUACUGCUCAGACCCAGCAAAACAUUUUCUAUUCUGUGUGAGUUUGACUUGGUACAGAGGAGAAAAGUGGUCAGCAUAAGACUGUCUUAGGAGGUGGUAUCUUCCUUCUCCAGCCCUUGCAGACAUCUAUUCUGCCCUCAGUAUAAAUUACAGUAGCAUGAAGGUAUACACAACUGAAGCAGAAAAUGAAUGACUGUUUCAGCAACUGCAGGUAGUCCAAAUCUCUACCUUUCUGGAGUAUGUCCGGCUCCACAUCACGGGGAGACCCUCUGGGAGAGGAAUUCUGAAUAGUGGGUCCUUCAGAAGAAGAUUUGUUCACUAUUCAUGAACAAAUGUUUUCAGCUGUCUCCUUUUGGGGAAGAGAUUCAUCCAUCUCCACAGGCUGUGGAUAUCUAGUGGGGAGAUGGAUCUUGAACCCUCCCCGUGGGGCAACUCACUGCAUGGCAGCUGAAUAAGAAGCAGGGUCUGCAUUUGAAAGGCAGGUGUUUGAAAUGAAGGCCCAAUUCAAUCUCUGAGGUAAACCUGUUAUUCUUGAGGACUCCACAAUUAUUUGAGCAGCAAUGUACAUGUCUGCAGGUUUUGGGGGGGGUGUCUCUUUUUGGUCAACUUAGAACAGGUAAACCUAUGUCCAUAACCUGUGUCGCUGCAUAUGUUGCAGGAGAGAACAGCUGCUCAGCCAUAUUUGACUUGCAUGAAGUCAGCACGGAGUGAGCUGGAGCAAUAAUCACAAUCCUUAACCAGUUUGGGUUAGACAAGAUGAACAUUGACUAAAGAUUUAUCUACUUUCCCGGAAAGACACCUGGAGGGCUUGCAAGUGGAGAGGGGACUGUAACUGAAUCCCUCUGUUAGGACAGACAUAGCUUGACAUUGCUACUAUGGGAGUAACCAUCACGGUGAGGAGAUUGGUGUUAAGACCUCACCAGAAGCCUAACUGCAGUGUGUAUCUUUAUUACGUUUAAAAGCUUCUGACAAUACUUGUUCAUGCUGUCAUUUUUCCUUGCUUACAAGAAAUGGUUGUGUCCACAAGGAGCUCAACAUGAGCCUGAAGUAACAUAGACUAUUAGUUGCUGAAUGCUAAAGGUUCCUUAAGGAAUCACAAUACAGAGGUCUAAUGAUGACCGAAGGUUUUGUGGGUUUUUUUUCUGUGUGUUUCUGUUUUCUGCACCAUUGGGGAGACCUGCUCCUAACUCUGGAUGCAUCCUUGUUCUCUGGCAGAGGCUUGUUAUCACAUGCUGGAACCCUAUUACUGUGAUGAGUCCCAGGGUUUAAGUGCAUAAAGACUAUGGACAAACACACUGGAAUUUCUAGUAACUUGCUAAAGUUCAUUUAAAGGUAAGAAGUGUUCAACUGAUAAUGUUGGAACAUUUCUUCAGAAUAGGCAUUGUUUUUGCAAUAGCAAUCUGAGUUUCCCCACAGCCAUUCAGUAUGCCUAGCUCUGRCCUAACAUGAUCCAGAGUAUUGCAUUGCCCAAGACCUUCUGAGGCAUGAGACUCCACCAGUAGAAAUCAUUACAGACUCAGCUCAGUCCCCUGCAGUAAGGUACAUUAUCAUCAUUACCUAGACAGAAAUAAUAAGUAAAACAAAACAGAGAGCAGUACAGGACUUGACGCAAUUAAACUUCAAACUCUUGGCUCUUUUGAACUCUGUCCUUCAACUCUUCUAGAAAGGAGUAAUUUUCAGGAGUGACCUACAACAGUUUUGAUCUGGUAUCUCAGUGGAAUAUAUAGCUCCAUCUCCCACCAGCAAACACUCUGAAUAAUUUAGAUAUUCUACACCCACACAAGAAAAAUUGUAAAGCCAAGUUUUCAAUGGAUCUUGCAUAUACUUCUUUUUUGGGGGGAAAUGUGAUUUAUAUUUUUUAGUUAAUGUAACAGAUAUAUAAAUCUUUUUACUGAGGCCUUCCUUAGAAAAAUCUUACCAUACCAAAUGUGACUGAUCUACUGUGCCUGUUUGACGGAACUCCUUUGUGAUGCUGAUCAUUUCCCAGCCUAGAUUUAUCUAUUUAGGAUAGAAAACUGUUUCUGGAAUCUGAACUCAGUUAACAAUAAACACUCCACUGAAAGAUCCA
rnacentral:lncRNA from 1 species